UUUGGAGGAGAUUCUUUCUAUCCCAUAAAGUUUUAAUUUCUGUUUAAUAUAUUAGGUAUUCAAAAGCUUACCAUAUAAAGCCAAAUAUCCUGUCUUCAAAGAGUUUAACAGUUAGUCAUUGUGACCAUCUAUUUAUGAUUAAAGCAAGGUUAUUUAAAUUUAAUGGCUAAAAGUGAUUUUAAGCCAUAAUAAUUUUCAACCUAAUAAUCUACAGUGUGAAAAAUGGCACUCUCAAAGUGGUAGAAGAGUAGAUUUUAAACCUGCAAUACUUAAAUUAUGCAAGAUCCAUAUACAAGUCAAUUCUUGUCAUGUCUCCAAUUAAAAGAAAAAUAUAAAUAAAAGCAAAAAUGAAGAAAAAAUAUGAUUCUCUCUGUAUUUUAAAACCUGUUCAACUGAGUAGUAACUAUAAAAAGAAAAUGUGUUAACCUCACAAUACUUCCAAACCUAGACAGCAGAGGGCGUCUUAGAAACAAAUACCCAACACAUUAAGUUGUAUAAAUCAAGCCACUUUAAGAACAAUGAAAACUGGGUUUUUACUCAUUGUAAUCACUUUGUAGGAUAUUAUAAACUGUGUAAAUAAAUGUAUUAAAAAA
rnacentral:antisense_RNA from 1 species